AGAGUGAAACACAAAGACCUUCAGUGCAAUGCUUAUCUCUUGUCACAUGCCUUGGGUCCUUAAAGCCAAAAAGCCAGUGGAUGGUCGGGGUGUGAGUCUGCAGCUAUCAGCACAGAGCCAAGGAGACUGUCCGCUGCUAGGGGUGACACUUGAUGUGACGUCCGUGAAGUCCGCUCAGUCCGUGUAUCAGUGGCCUUUGGGACAUUCCCAGUGCAAGGAAAUU
rnacentral:lncRNA from 1 species